rnacentral:rRNA from 1 species
UACGUAGGGGGCAAGCGUUGUCCGGAAUUAUUGGGCGUAAAGAGCGUGUAGGCGGCCAGAUAAGUCCGCUGUGAAAUCUCGAGGCUCAACUUCGAGCUGUCGGUGGAAACUAUCUGGCUAGAGUCCGGAAGAGGAGGAUGGAAUUCCUGGUGUAGCGGUGAAAUGCGCAGAUAUCAGGAAGAACACCGGUGGCGAAGGCGGUUGGCUGGGCCGUGGCUGACACUGAGGCGCGACAGCGUGGGGAGCAAACAGG